rnacentral:rRNA from 1 species
CAAUAGCGUAUAUUAAAGUUGUUGCAGUUAAAAAGCUCGUAGUUGGAUUUCUGGCAGGAGCGACCGGUCACACACUCUGUGUGUGAACUUGCGUUGUCUCUGGCCAUCCUUGGGAAGAUCCUGUUUGGCAUUAAGUUGUCGGGCAGGGGAUACCCAUCGUUUACUGUGAAAAAAUUAGAGUGUUUAAAGCAGGCUUAUGCCGUUGAAUAUAUUAGCAUGGAAUAAUAAGAUAGGACUUCGGAACUAUUUUGUUGGUUUGCGUUACGAAGUAAUGAUUAAUAGGGACAGUUGGGGGUAUUCGUAUUUCGUUGUCAGAGGUGAAAUUCUUGGAUUUCCGAAAGACGAACUACUGCGAAAGCAUUUACCAAGGAAGUUUUCAUUAA